UUAACCACUGACCUACUAGAAUGGAUCCGUGAUCUAGAGUUAACCACUGAUGGAGCCGUAACCAGGGACCAAGAUUCAAUCACUGAUCUAGACCAGACCACAGACCUAGAGUCAACCACAGAUCUGGAGUCAACCACAGACGUGUACCUGGAUGUCACACAGACUUCUGAAUUCUUUGUUGACCUUGAAACAGCCACUGCCAGCUCUGUGGAAGAAGCCAGUGAGGCCCCAGAUGAUUACAGUACAUUUCAGACAGAGAGCUUUGUGUGAGUAAAGAUUUUGACCAAAGCAGCACUUCUGUGGGAAGAAAUGAGUCUACCUUGGUGCAACUUUAAAAUGAAGCAAAGUCUUCAUUAGCUGUGAUGGUAACUCUGCUGUUCACCGCUCUCUGAGAAGACUUGAACUUUUGAAACAGCUGACUACUUCACUUAUUGGAUAUUGCUUGAUUGCAGAAAGCUAGUAAAACAUGGCACAUGCCCAGCUGAGGAGAAAUGGCAAGGCACUGGUCCCAGGGGGGUGUUGUGAAUUCUAUAAACUGGAGAGGGUCAUUUCUUAGCUCUGUCCUUUUUAAUGCAGGUUUAAUAAAUUUUCAUUAGAAUUGAA